rnacentral:rRNA from 1 species
GACGAACGCUGGCGGCGUGCUUAACACAUGCAAGUCGGACGGUGAAGCGCCUUCCUUUUUGGUGGGUGUGGAUGAGUGGCGAACGGGUGAGUAACACGUGAGUAACCUGCCCCCUUCUUCUGGAUAACCGCAUGAAAGUGUGGCUAAUACGGGAUAUUCUGGGUCUGUCGCAUGAUGGGUCUGGGAAAGAUAUUGUUUCGGUGGGGGAUGGGCUCGCGGCCUAUCAGCUUGUUGGUGGGGUGAUGGCCUACCAAGGCGGUGACGGGUAGCCGGCCUGAGAGGGUGGACGGUCACACUGGGACUGAGACACGGCCCAGACUCCUACGGGAGGCAGCAGUGGGGAAUAUUGCACAAUGGGCGCAAGCCUGAUGCAGCGACGCCGCGUGAGGGAUGGAGGCCUUCGGGUUGUGAACCUCUUUCGCCAGUGAAGCAGGCCUGCCUCGUUUGUGGGUGGGUUGACGGUAGCUGGAUAAGAAGCGCCGGCUAACUACGUG